GUGAUCGCUUCAGCAGCACAUAUACUCAAACUGGAACGAUGCAGAGAAGAUUAGCAUGGCCCCUGCACAACGAAUGACAGGCCAUUGCAGAAUCAGUGCUUUGGAUUU